GAUGAACGCUGGCGGCGUGCCUAACACAUGCAAGUCGAACGGAGAUUACGGACGGAAGUUUUCGGAUGGAAGACUGUAAUUCUUAGUGGCGGACGGGUGAGUAACGCGUGGGCAACCUGCCCUAUACAGGGGGAUAGCAGCUGGAAACGGCUGGUAAGACCGCAUAAGUCGGCGAGACCGCAUGGUUUUGCCGGGAAAUGAGCAAUCAGGUAUAGGAUGGGCCCGCGUCCGAUUAGCCAGUUGGCAGGGUAAAAGCCUACCAAAGCAACGAUCGGUAGCCGGACUGAGAGGGCGGACGGCCACAUUGGGACUGAGACACGGCCCAAACUCCUACGGGAGGCAGCAGUGGGGGAUAUUGCACAAUGGAGGAGACGCUGAUGCAGCGACGCCGCGUGAGUGAAGAAGUAGUUCGGUAUGUAAAGCUCUAUCAGCAGGGAAGAUGAUGACGGUACCUGACGAAGAAGCCCCGGCUAACUACGUG
rnacentral:rRNA from 1 species